rnacentral:rRNA from 1 species
UACAGGGGGUGCAAACGUUGCUCGGAAUCACUGGGCGUAAAGCGCACGUAGGCGGCUUUUUAAGUCAGGGGGGAAAUCCUGGAGCUCAACUCCAGAACUGCCUUUGAUACUGAGAAGCUUGAGUCCGGGAGAGGUGAGUGGAACUGCGAGUGUAGAGGUGAAAUUCGUAGAUAUUCGCAAGAACACCAGUGGCGAAGGCGGCUCACUGGCCCGGUACUGACGCUGAGGUGCGAAAGCGUGGGGAGCAAACAGG